CGUCGUCGUCGUCGUCGUCGUCGUCGCCGAGCGCGCGAAUCAGCAGUGGUUUCGCUUAGUGGUUCGGUCGUUUCGCGAUACGUUACUGGCCCGUCUGUGCGCGAAAGAACGAAGAGAGAAAGCCUCGGGUGUGCGUGUGAGGGCAGUGAUCUCUCUCGGAGAGCGGCGACCUGACGGUACGAACGAGCCGACGGUGAGGAUAUAUAUGCGUCGACGUUGCUCUCUCUUUCACCUAACCUACCAGCGCAAAACGAUUCUGCGGAUCGACGGACGAAUUCUCCGCGGUUGGAUGUAACUCGCUUCGUUGUCCCAUUCGAGGAUCCGAGGAUCGUGAUUAAACAAGAUUGUGGCGGAAUAUUAUCAGCGUACUCGAUCAUAUUUAAGGUUAAAGAAAUCGGUGCAGUGAUAGAGCAGAGGAAUGCGGAGCGAGCGAACAGUCUCCUUUAGGCCUAACGAGAUCGUAAACCGCGGUUUUCAUUUUGGGCGGAGCCUUCUGCUGCAACCGUUGGAGAAUUUUUCCAGCGUUUCAAUGGGCCGACUUACCUGUGAGAGGAAGAGAGAGAGAGAAUGCAUUUCAAAUCGACCGUCGUAUCGUGUAUCAAACGCAACCAUGGCUUACACAUUUGCCGAGUUUUUCGCGUCUUCAGUUUCGGCUUUACAUCCGUCUACAUUACGCGGUGCAGAUGCAUCCGCACGCGUUCACCUAACAGUGCGGGCAUAUCUGUGGAACCAGCCGAACCACGACCCUUUCCCCCUUUGGAAGUUUUUCAUCGUCGGUCCUUCAUUGGUCGGGACCCAAAUGAGAAUUUUUCCGACGCAGUCGUUUGGCCCUGCCCCCUUCACCGUGCGUUUCCUUCCCAAAUGGCGGCACGGUGCAUUGCAUUUCGACGAUGCAACAAGCAUUUUUAUUUAUCCUUGAACUGCUCUUUAAAUUUAUGCUGUCUGUUCGUUUCCAAUGUAUACAUAAUACCUCGAGGUGCAGUUCUACUCCAAAGAGAAACAUCAAAUAUCUUUUAAAUGAGAAUUAACAAAAAUAAUGUUAUUUUAAGAAAUGGAAAUGGUGCAUAUA